rnacentral:rRNA from 1 species
GGACGAAAGUCUGACCGAGCAACGCCGCGUGAGUGAAAAAGGUUUUCGGAUCGUAAAACUCUGUUGUUAGAGAAGAACAAGGACGUUAGUAACUGAACGUCCCCUGACGGUAUCUAACCAGAAAGCCACGGCUAACUACGUGCCAGCAGCCGCGGUAAUACGUAGGUGGCAAGCGUUGUCCGGAUUUAUUGGGCGUAAAGCGAGCGCAGGCGGUUUCUUAAGUCUGAUGUGAAAGCCCCCGGCUCAACCGGGGAGGGUCAUUGGAAACUGGGAGACUUGAGUGCAGAAGAGGAGAGUGGAAUUCCAUGUGUAGCGGUGAAAUGCGUAGAUAUAUGGAGGAACACC